rnacentral:rRNA from 1 species
UACGAGGGGGUGCAAGCGUUGCUCGGAAUUAUUGGGCGUAAAGGGUAGGUAGGUGGUCUCAUUUGUCGGGGGUGAAAGCCUUGUGCUUAACACAAGAAGUGCCCCCGAAACGGUGAGACUCGAGUCUUGGAGAGGGUUGCGGAAGUUCCCGGUGUAGCGGUGAAUGCGUAGAUAUCGGGAAGAACACCAAAGGCGAAAGCACUUUGCUGGGCCGAAACGUGACACUGAUAGACGAAAGCUAGGGGAGCAA